rnacentral:tRNA from 1 species
GCCCAGAUGGCGGAAUUGGUAGACGCGCUAGCUUCAGGUGCUAGUGUCCUUAUGGAGGUGGAGGUUCAAGUCCUCUUCUGGGCACCA